ACUCAAAGGAAUAGACGGGGGCCCGCACAAGCAGUGGAGUAUGUGGUUUAAUUCGAAGCAACGCGAAGAACCUUACCAGGGCUUGACAUCCCGCGAAUAGCGCAGAGAUGCGUGAAGCCUUUCGGGGCGCGGAGACAGGUGGUGCAUGGUUGUCGUCAGCUCGUGUCGUGAGAUGUUGGGUUAAGUCCCGCAACGAGCGCAACCCUUGUUGUCAGUUGCCAUCAUUAAGUUGGGCACUCUGGCAAUACUGCCGGUGACAAAUCGGAGGAAGGUGGGGACGAGGUCAAAUCAUCAUGCCCCUUAUGUCCUGGGCUACACACGUACUACAAUGGCUAAAACAGAGGGAAGCAAAGGAGCAAUCCGGAGCAAAACCCCAAAAAUAGUCUCAGUUCGGAUUGUGGGCUGAAACCCGCCCACAUGAAGUCGGAAUUGCUAGUAAUGGCAGGUCAGCAUACUGCCGUGAAUACGUUCCCGGGCCUUGUACACACCGCCCGU
rnacentral:rRNA from 1 species